CGUAGUGGUGACGCGUAGGCGUUGUGAAGUGUGGUUACAAUCAGCUACACAGGACAUAGUGGACGUAUAUGAUAUACGCACGGUAUCAAUGUAAUCCGGUGAUUUUGAAGAGGUGUAGGAUAAGUAAAGGAAUUUCUGUCCUCAAAAUGAGUAUAAUUUUUUCAACAAGGGCAGAAUUUUUGACCCAGCUUGUUUGUGCAAGUGUACCUAAUAUUGUGGCCGUUUCUCCAGUGACAAAGCUAAAGAUUGUGCCUCUAUUCAACGCCACCUGGAGAGAAAAAAAGCUACAGCGUGUAAAACCAGGACUACCCAAUCGUUGUGGGGGGAACAUUUUCACAAAGAAUUAUGCCAAUGCAAGGACUUCACAUGUUCAUCUCACCAAAUGGCUUGGUCUUGUUAAUCAAUAAAACAAGCAAUAUUUAAGAUAGUCAAGACAUCCUGUGUAUGACAGGAGUGUUCUGCUGUUUUGAAGGAUUCACAGCAAAAACAAUAGUCAAAUAUCUACAUAGCAGCAUUGCUCCACUGUUUUUAAGGACUAACUGCAAGUCAAAGAUCCUAUAUAUGACAGGAGUGCGCAAAAAUGCAAGUCAAAGAUCCUAUAUAUGACAGGAGUGCGCAUCUGUUUAAGAAUCUACUGCAAAAAUGCAAUUCAGGGAUCCUUUAUACGACAAGAGCACGCUGCCGUUUUCAAGAACCUACAGCAAAAAUCCAAGUCAGAGAUCCUCUAUAUGACUGGAGUGUUUGGCUGUUUUCAAGGGUUUACAGCAAAAACACUAGUCAAGGAUCCUCUAUAAGCAGGAAUGAGCAGCUGUUUUCAAGAACCUACUGCAAAAAGGCAAGUCUAAGAUAUUGUAUAUGACAGGAGCACUCUGCUGUUUGCAAGAACCUACUGCAAAAAUGCAAGUCAAAGAUCCUCGACAUGACAUCAGCGCUCUGCUGUUUUCAAAAACUGACCGCAAAAAUGCAAGUCAAAGAUCCUCUAUAUCAGGGGUUUGGCAUAGUUUCAUAUAUAUUUGACAAGGUUGUAAACUAAAUAGGUUAGAUAUAGUUAUUGAAAACAAUAUCAAUAUUAUUACUAUUUCAGUUUUAAUAUUUGAGUGGGCCUCGGGCCCCUCUGUAGUGCCAAAGUAGGGCCCCGAGGUCAAAAAGGUUAAGAAGCCCUGCUCUCAAUAGCAAGACUGCUCAGCUGUUUUCAAGGACUAACCACAAAAAUACAAGUACUCUCGACAUAACUGCUCUAUUUUAAGGACUAACUAAAAGUGCAGGAGUGCGCUGAGUGUGGUGCUAUUUUCUAAUAAAAAUGAAAAGCUGACAACAUUUGGAGACGCAUGCUUUUCAUUGCACAGCAAUGCUAUGGCAUUAAAAAAACACUAAAAUACAUUAUUGGGUGUGCAGUAGAACAGAAAAGUCAACAAGGUGGCUGGAUUGUAUAUGUUCUAUUCUAGAACAUUCUUGUACCGAUUCAAAACAGCCAUACAUCAUAAAUACAAAAUCUGUACAUUUAUAACAGCGCAAAUGCAUUUUUUAAAAACACUUGGU